rnacentral:lncRNA from 1 species
ACACACUAGCAUCCAGCAUUUCAGAUCUUGUCCUGUCAAAAUGCACAUCAGCCAGGGAUUUCAAACGACUUUUUCUUUUUUUCUUGAUUUUUUAGCUUCAAUGACAUCUGCUGUAUCCGUAGCUUAGUCAUCAUUUCUGCAGGCAUUCUAUGGGUAGGAAGUACGCUGCAGAAAAAAGUGAAUUCAAAUGAGUCGUACCAGCUUCUGGAGCAGGAAUUGGCAUGUUGGAUACAUGGAGAGGAAAGUGCUUUAAGCAGCUAUGUAAGGCAGGCACUCACAUGUGUUCAUCUUUCUUCCCGACAGAUGUAACUGAGAGAACAGCAGUGACACUCCAACAUCCCCUGUGUGCUGGUGCCCACGACCCGCAGUCAGCAUUGCAGGGUCCUGGGGAGGGCUCCGGGUGAGAACCCCUGGUGCCUUCCCCACAGAUGCCAAAGGACAGGACAGUGAUUUCCCUGCUGGGGGAGUAAGGGAGAAAAACAGCUGCCUGGCCGAGGAUGCAGAACAGCAAUAAAGCUCCAUUUCCUGUCCCCAUGCUCCGGCUACUUCUGGAACCAGUGGAGUGACUUCAUGCAAGGAACCCACCAGAAUUUGAUGUUGGACACUGCCGAGCUCAGCCUGCUCCGUGAAGUACAUAGUGCUGCUUGGGAUGCAGCCCUGCUGCAAUGGCACCACGAGUUUGGGUACCUGCCUGUGCUUCCCCACCAGAAAGGACAUCAGAAACCAGAAAGAAUGGCAUCAGCUUCAACUUUGGGCCAGCAUGUUUGAGGUUUGAAGAACUUGAACUUGGAGAGAGAAAUGUUAGAUGUGAUAAGUGAAGGUUUUUUUAUGAGACUAUUGUCAUAGAAUCAUACAAUCACAGAAUGGCUUGGGUUGGAAGGGACCCCAAGGAUCAUCAAGUUCCAACCCCCCUGCUGCAGGCAGGGCCACCAGCCUCCACAUCUAAUACCAGACCAGGCUGCCCAGGGCCCCAUCCCACCUGGCCUUGAACACCUCCAGGGAUGAAGCAUCCUCAGCCUCUCUGGGCAGCCUGUGCCAGCACCUCAGCACUCUCUCUGUGAAGAACUUCCCCCUGACAUCCAAACUAAACCUUCCUUCCUUGAGCUUAAAACCAUUCCCCCUUGUCCUAUCCCUGUCUACCUGAAUAAAAUUACAUUCUUCUUUUCCUGAAGAUAUUUC